rnacentral:rRNA from 1 species
GAUGAACGCUAGCUACAGGCUUAACACAUGCAAGUCGAGGGACCGGCGCACGGGUGAGUCACACGUAUCCAACCUGCCCUUUACUCGGGGAUAGCCUUUCGAAAGAAAGAUUAAUACCCGAUAUAAAGGAUGGGGAUGCGUUCCAUUAGGUUGUUGGUGAGGUAACGGCCAACCAAGCUUCCGAUGGAUAGGGGUACUGAGAGGAAGGUCCCCCACAUUGGAACUGAGACACGGUCCAAACGCGUACGGGAGGCAGCAGUGAGGAAGAAUGGUCAAUGAGCGCUAGCCUGAACCAGCCAAGUAGCGUGAAGGAUGAAGGCUUAUGGGUCGUAAUCUUCUUUUAUAUAAGAAUAUGUAUUAUAUGAAUAAGGAUCGGCUAACUCCGUGCCAGCAGCCGCGGUAAUAC